rnacentral:rRNA from 2 species
AGCUGCAGUAUCUUGACUGUACAAAGGUAGCAUAAUCAUUAGUUUUUUAAUUGAAAGCUGGAAUGAAUGGCUGAAUGAGAAAAUGACUGUCUCUUUUUAAUUGAUUAGAACUUUAUUUUUAAGUAAAAAAGCUUAAAUUUAAUAGAAAGACGAGAAGACCCUAUAGAGUUUAAUAGGUUUAGAUUUGUUUUAACUGAAGGUUCAAAGUUAAGAUGGGUUUAGCCUGUUUUGUUGGGGUGACAAUAGAAUUUAAUUAACUUCUUUUUUAAAAAUCAUUGAUUUAUGAUUAAAUGAUCCUAAUUUUUAGAUUAAAAGAAUAAAUUACCUUAGGGAUAACAGCGUAAUUUUUUUGGAGAGUUCUUAUCGAUAAAAGAGAUUGCGACCUCGAUGUUGGAUUAAAGUUUAGUAUUGGUGCAGAAGCUAAUAUAUUAAGACUGUUCGAC